UACAGAGGAGCCAAGCGUUGUCCGGAUUGACUGGGCGUAAAGCGCACGCAGGCGGAUGCGCGCGUGGGGUGUGAAAUCUGGCCGCUUAACGGCCAGCGCCAUCCCAUACGGCGCGUCUGGAGUGAUGCAGAGGUCGAUGGAAUUGCCGGUGUAGUGGUGAAAUGCGUAGAGAUCGGCAGGAACACCCAGGGGGAAACCAGUCGACUGGGCAGUCUACUGACGCUGAGGUGCGAGAGCGUGGGGAGCGAACCGG
rnacentral:rRNA from 1 species